CAGGUGAGCCCCAUGUUUCCAACCAACAAGACAAACGAAAGAGACUGCAGGCUACACAAGUACUACUAUUGGAUAUCUAGCAGGUGAUGAGCCCCAUGUUUCCAACCAACAAGACAAACGAAAGAGACUGCAGGCUACACAAGUACUACUAUUGGAUAUCUAGCAGAACACAAGAAGAGUCUCAAGGCUGCAGGAGUGCACUUAAACAGCGGGCGAUUUAUAAAUAGUUACGAAAAGUAGGUACUUAGUUCGAAAAGCUGCAGAACAAUGUUACGGGCUGUGACUCCAAUCUCAGGCGGUUGGUAAAGAACUUGUGCGGUGGUUUUCUAAUAGAAGGCAACUGAACUUUGGGACUAAAACUAAUUUAAAUAUUACACUUUUCUUAGUGAACAUAAUAAAAAUGACCUUGAUCCAGACAGCCUACGGACUGGGUCAGCUAGUAACUUCUUACCAAUCGCCUCAGUUAGGCCUCUCACUAAAGUCCAAGAAGCAGCGAGCAUGCAGGAGGGACCAAAAGUCAAUGAGUACAUUUUUCACUCGACGACUAUUUAAGGCACAUCACACACUACCUGAACCAGUACCUAAUAGUAA